GAAUAGCUCAGUUGGUAGAGUCGCGGUCUCCAAAACCGUUGGUCGUGGGUUCAAGUCCUACUUCG
rnacentral:tRNA from 1 species